GCCAGACUCCUACGGGAGGCAGCAGUGGGGGAUAUUGCACAAUGGGGGAAACCCUGAUGCAGCGACGCCGCGUGAGUGAAGAAGUAUUUCGGUAUGUAAAGCUCUAUCAGCAGGGAAGAAAAAAGACGGUACCUGACUAAGAAGCCCCGGCUAACUACGUGCCAGCAGCCGCGGUAAUACGUAGGGGGCAAGCGUUAUCCGGAUUUACUGGGUGUAAAGGGAGCGUAGACGGCAAUACAAGUCGGAAGUGAAAUACCCGGGCUCAACCGGGGAACUGCUUUGGAAACUGUAUGGCUGGAGUGCUGGAGAGGUAAGCGGAAUUCCUAGUGUAGCGGUGAAAUGCGUAGAUAUUAGGAGGAACACCAGUGGCGAAGGCGACUUACUGGACUGUAACUGACGUUGAGGCACGAAAGUGUGGGGAGCAAACAGGAUUAGAUACCCUAGUAAA
rnacentral:rRNA from 1 species